GACGAACGCUGGCGGCGUGCCUAAUACAUGCAAGUCGAGCGCUUCAUUCUUCUCGUUUUCUUACACGGAUGUGCAGCGAGGAGUGGCGGACUGGUUGGUAACACGUGCGUAACCUAGCGAUCAGCAGGGGAUAACACUUGGUAACAGGGGAUAAAAACGCUUAACAGUUUAUGCCGCAUUGAAACAUAGUAAUAGACCAUUUAAAGAUUAGCCGGUGUUGUAUUAGCUAGUUGGUGAGGUAAAGGCUCACCAAGGGGAUGACACAUACCCGACCUGAGAGGGUGAUCGGCCAAAUUGGGACUGAGACACGGCCCAAACUCCUACGGGAGGCAGCAGUAGGGAAUCUUCGGCAAUGGAAGAAAGUCUGACCGAGCAACGCCGCGUGAGUGAAGAAGGUUUUCGGAUCGUAAAACUCUGUUGGUAGAGAAGAACGUUGGUGAGAGUGGAAAGCUCAUCAAGUGACGGUAACUACCCAGAAAGGGACGGCUAACUACGUG
rnacentral:rRNA from 1 species